AGGUGCACUACAUCCUUCAGGAGGUGGUGAUGGGUGGAAUGGUGUUGGAAACAAACAUGAAUGAAAUCGUGGCUCAGAUUGAAGCUCAAAACAAGCUGGAGAAAUCGGAGGGUGGCCUUUCAGCAGCGCCUGCCCGGGCCGUGUCUGCUGUGAAGAAUAUCAACCUGCCAGAGAUGCCUCGGAACAUCAACAUUGGCGAUCUCAACAUCAAGGUCCCUAACCUGUCCCAGUUUGUCUGAGGGUGGAAGACAGCUGACCUGAGUCCUUGGAACCAGCAAGGCCAAGCCAGGCUGGCAACAGAACUCACCCUGCGCCCUGGAGGAGUCCGGCCUCGGGCCCUGGCCCCUGCUGUCCUGGAGCAGGGAGGAGUCCUGUGUCCACUGCCAGCCUGUGCUCUCUUCUCACAUGUGCAGCCUCACCUGCCUCUCAUACAUGCGGCCUCUCGGGUGUGAGGGGUCCUGGCUUCCUCAGUGGGGGUCAGGUGCCCAAGUCACUUGCCCCCUUACCUUCCACAUGCAACCACUCCCAGGCACUGGGGACUGGAGUGAGAGCCCCCCCACCCCAUUCCCAGAGCCCCACCACAAGGACAUUCUUUGAUUUGAGUGUUCAGCCCUAGCGCCCUGAGGUCCUGUAGCGCUGACUUUCCUGGUGAGGUGCCAGAGCUAGGAAAGGGCCGAUCCUCUAGAUUUGGGGAUGUGGUGAGUGGUAAACAGAGCCAUGAUUUUAUGAGAUCCAGAGUCGCCUACUGGCCCUCCUAGGGUUGUCACACCCAGAAUCCUUUUGUAUGGCCAUGCUUUCAGAACACCACCUCCCAUGGAACACCUUGCCCCACUGCCACAGUCCUGGCGCUGCUCUCAUAGCUGUUAGUGUGCAGGACACAAUCCAAAUCAUAAACUUGGUGCCUGCCCCCCACUCUUCUGCCAACAGGGAGACCACCCCCCACUGCAGCCAGAGGGGUCCUCCUCCCUGUGUCUGUAGAAGGCAAGUGGAACAUCUCAGAAUUACAACUCUUCCCAAGUAUAAAAUACAUAGUCCUCACGAGGAGCGGAUGCGUCAGUUGCUGUGUUAUGGAUGAGUCUUCUCUGUAUAGGAAGCCUGCUGCUGUCUAUACCAGCCUCUGGAGCACAAAUCUGAGCUCGGGUCACGUGUUCUGGACCUAGCACAGAGGAAGGCCGGGGAAAUGGGCAGUGUGCUGGCUGAGAUGGGUGGCAGUGUAGCAUCUUCUCCCCACUGAGCGAGGGGUCUAUCCCUGAGCACACAUAUGGGCCCCCCUGCUCCCCUCAAAUGACAGUCCCCUAGAGCUGGCUGUGGAAACCUGUAAGUGUUUAUGUAUAAUUAGAGUCUUUCUUCUUGUGGAUAACUUAGAGCUGAACUGCUCUUUGGGGUAGUGCCUCCCACUCCUGCACUGCCUCGGAGGCCAGGUCUCUGGUAUGGUGCUAAGCUGCCUUGAGAUUGGAGAGCAGCUUGAGAUUGGGGAGCUCCCUGCGCCAUCAUGUCAGGACUUCUUGUGCGUCCCAGCCGGUGGUCCAGGCUGUCCUCAGGCUUCCUGAUGGUAUCCCAGGGUCCAUCUGAGGUGGUGUGUGAGAGGACCAUGUGUCAGGACUACGUCUUUUCCUGCUUUGACACUGCUCCCUGUGGUUGGUGCCCUUUGCUACCUGUAGCCUCUUAUUCUCAUUCUUUCAGAACCUCUCUGAUAACCUUAGAGAUGGGCAGUGUUGGUCAGAAGGUAGGCCCUCCCAUGUUGGAAGAGGAAGUUGUAGGUAAAUAUAUCUGAUGUCAAAACCUCUGAUAUUAUUCUUUUAAAAGUUUAAUUUUUUUGGAGUUCCCAUCAUAGCACAGUGGAAAUGAAUCUGACUAGUAUCUGUGAGGAUGCAGGUUUGAUCCCUGACCUUGAUCAGUGGGUUAGGGAUCCAACGUUGCUGUGAGCUGUGUGUAGGUUGCAGACACAGCUCAUAUCUGGCAUUGCUGUGGUAUAGGUCUGCAGAUACUGGGACCCUCCAUAUGCCAUGGGUGUGGCCUUAAAAGACCAAAAAAAUAUAUAUAUAUAUGAUUUUUUUUAAACAGUCAUUUUCUCACAUUCACAUCCCUUUCUCUCACAUUAGUUGAAAGUGAAAUAGGAACUAAGGAAGGGAAACAGUAUUUAUUUUGCACCUACUGUAAGGUAGCUUCAGCAAGAUCUUUGCACAAACCUCACAACAGACAUUGUUAUCUCCAUUUUGCUAGUCAAGAAAGUAAGAGAGGUCAAGUAACCUGUUUUAGGUCACACAGGGCUAAGCAUUGAGACUAUGCCCAAAUCCCCUGUCCUUUUGUUUUUCAUUGCUCAUGAUGGCUUCUCCCAAUUUAAACUUUCUUAUGGAUAAGGAAGCUUCAAAGAUGUUGGUUAGCUUCUCACAAACUGUGAUAAAAAAUAGGCUUGGUUUUCUACGAUGUCAGUGACAGCAUCAUGGAGUGUAUCAUAGAGUGUAUCAGCGACAACAUGGUAGAGUGUAGGAGCUGGAGGGUACUUCACAUCCCUCCACUGAAGUGGUGAGGACAUGGAAGCCCAAAAGGUUAAGUGUUGCGUUGAGGGUCACAGAGCUAGAACCCAGUCGUUUUUCUUGAGUUUGUUUUACGGUUUAUUGUAUUCUUGCAGGACAGCCACCUGUCCUGGAUUUUCUGGGAUAGUCUUAGAAUGUUUUGCCUGCCAGAAACCAAUGAUUCCCCAAACCCACUUACUGGUCCUGUAGACUCCCAACAGUGGGCAUCUCAACAUCAUCCCUCUACUGCCUCUAAAAAUGACAUACAACUUGAGCCUGGUCUUCUGUGUGGUCUACUUGAACCCCUUGGACAAGCCAUAGCAAUUGUACAUUAAGUACUUGUGGUUGCUGGCAAAUCCAGGUAGUUUUCUUGCCUGCUAUCAACAAAGCCAUAAACCUUUUUUUUUUUUUUUUUUUUUUAAGAGGGAUACAAAUAUUGCUGCUGAGAGAGAUGGGUGUGAAUAUGGGAGUCCUUGGCCCUGGGUGAUUUACAACGAGGAUUUCCUAAAGUAGAACGGAAUACUGGGUUUUCAGUACUCACUGCCACUAAUUAAAAUCUAAUAUUCCUCAAUUAUGCAGUUUCUAAGUGCCUGGUGAAUGCCAGGCUCGGUUCUAGGCUCUGAAUAUUGAGAGAGAGAGAAAUGAGACUGCUUCCUACUCUUCUCUCUGCUGAGGAUCUCUGUGUGCUCAUCUUGAGUCUGACUGGCAUCUUGAAUUUGUGGAGACCAGUGACUUUGUGUUCAUGGACUAUUUAAAGGACAGCAGCCCGACUUCCAGCCCCAGCUGACCCCAUUAUGCCCUGCUGUCCAUGCUCCAAUCUGUCUUCAAGCUACUGUAACAAAAGUACCAUAGACUGGGCAGCUUAAAUAACAAAUUUUUUUUUUUUUUCCUUUUCAGCCAUACCUACGGCACGAUGUUCCCAGGCCAGGGGUUGAAUUGGAGCUGCAGCUGCAGCCAUACCACAGCCACAGCAACACUGGGUCCUUAACCCUAAGCCACAAGGGGAACUCCUUAAAUAACAAACAUUUCUCACAGUUCUUCAAACUGAUCAAGAUCAAGGUGCCUGCAGAUUUGGUGUAUAGUGUGGACCCACCUCCUGUCUCAUUGAGGACCGUCCUCUUGCUCUGUGCUCACAUGGUGAGGAGAAAGCUCUAGACUCUUCAUCCCCUUAGCAUCAACCCACCGUGGGGGCCCCACCCAUAUGACUGCAUCCAAACCUAACUACCUCCCAAAGGCCCUGUCACCAAACAGCAUCCCACUCGGACUUGGAUGUCAGUGUAUAAGUUUGGGGAAAGACACAUUCAGUCUAUACAGUACCUGAUUACCCACCUUCCUUCUAGGCCUGGUCCUGGCCCUGUGCUUGUCACAUAGAGGACAUUCAAGAUGUCUCAAGUCUUAAGUCCCUGUUAUUCAGGCCUCUGCCACUUCUAGAGCUGGCCUUUCCUUCUUACACAUCUACUUUUAAGGAGCCAGCCUAGUGAAGCCCUGCCUGGGCCCAGCUUCAGAAAAAAAAACCAGAGAAGUGUGACUCAAACCAGGCUGAUGGCUAAAUCCUGUCUUGUGGGCAGAAUUUCCUUAGUGUGGGCCUUGGGUUUCCAAAUAGGAUGCAUUAGUGAUUUGGCGCCUGAAGAUAAAGACCAGGAGUGAUUAUGACGACCAGUGAGGGCCAUUUAGGUGUGAGAGAGACCUGGGGAAAGGGGUGAUGUCGGCUCCUAGCAGACAUCUUGGUCUUCGGCUUCCCAAGUCCUCUGCUCUUCCACCAAGAGGGUGCCCAUCUCACUGUAGUUGUUGUGAGCCUGGGGUCCACAGACUUGCAGACACCAGCAUGUGGCCAGUGUCCAUAGGGUGCCGGAUGGCUGAUAGGGUUUAAAUGUCACCCACUGGGAAACUCUGGAGGCUCCCACAUCUACAAAUGCAGUUGGCAGCAGUUGGCAGAUAGGCAGACAGGGCCUCCUUUAACGAAAUAGUUCCAUGGAAAUGAUUACUCUUUCCCAAAAGAUUGUGUAAGUUCUUUCCUAUUAAAAUGAAUUAAUGCUUAGAAAAGGAAAUACAUUCAAACAGUUCAAAGUUUAAGAGAACAAAAAAGUUCAGCCAGACUCCCACCCUGUUCCCCCAAACCACCAAGCCCCCUACUAGAUCCUUGGUAGAAACAAGUGUUUCCAAUUUAACAUAAACAAAGCCCAUAGAUUUUUAUUACCAAAACCGAGAGUAUACUUCCUAAGAGUUCUGUUCCAUUUGACUUUGCUGGUUGACCUCAACCCACUACAACCAUGCUGUCCUCGUAGGGAGGAGGGGCUUCCCAGAUGAGCCCCUACAAAGUGAGCAUGCCCUGUCCUUGCUCUGUUUUCUGUAACACUCUGACCUGCCAUGUGUCUGGGUUGUGGUCAUUGUCUUCCCUACCAGGAUGUACACCCCUCAAAGGGCUGGCGUUUUCGCUCUUAUUCAUUGCUGAGUCCCCACUGUUAUGAACAGUGCCUGGUACAUACAGCUCAGUAAAUAACCCUUGAAUGAGUG
rnacentral:lncRNA from 1 species